rnacentral:rRNA from 1 species
GAAGAAGCUCCCAAGGGUUGGGCUGUUCGCCCAUUAAAGAGGCACGCGAGCUGGGUUCAGACCGUCGUAAGACAGGUCGGUCUCCUAUCCACUAUGGUCGUGGAAACUUGAGAAGUCCGUUCCCUAGUACGAGAGGACCGGGAAUGACGAAGCUCUAGUGUACCGGCUGUCCCACCAGGGGCACUGUCGGGUAGCUACCUUCGGUUUGGAUAAGCGCUGAAAGCAUCUAAGCGCGAAGCCGUCUUCAAGAUUAGGUUUCAUAGAAUCGUCGGAGACUACGACGUUGAUAGGCUCUAUGUGUAAGCACAGUAAUGUGUUCAGCAGAGGAGUACUAAUAAUUCAUUUGAUUUU